UAGGGAAUCUUCCGCAAUGGGCGAAAGCCUGACGGAGCAACGCCGCGUGAGUGAUGAAGGUCUUCGGAUCGUAAAACUCUGUUAUUAGGGAAGAACAAAUGUGUAAGUAACUAUGCACGUCUUGACGGUACUUAACCAGAAAGGGACGGCUAACUACGUGCCAGCAGCCGCGGUAAUACGUAGGUCCCGAGCGUUGUCCGGAUUUAUUGGGCGUAAAGCGAGCGCAGGCGGUUAGAUAAGUCUGAAGUUAAAGGCAGUGGCUCAACCAUUGUAGGCUUUGGAAACUGUUUAACUUGAGUGCAGAAGGGGAGAGUGGAAUUCCAUGUGUAGCGGUGAAAUGCGUAGAUAUAUGGAGGAACACCGGUGGCGAAAGCGGCUCUCUGGUCUGUAACUGACGCUGAGGCUCGAAAGCGUGGGGAGCGAACAGG
rnacentral:rRNA from 1 species